UACGGCGGGUGCAAGCGUUAUCCGGAUUCACUGGGGUUAAAGGGUGCGUAGGUGGGCAGGUAAGUCAGGGGUGAAAUCUCCGGGCUUAACCCGGAAACUGCCAUUGAUACUAUCUGUCUUGAAUACCGUGGAGGUGAGCGGAAUAUGUCAUGUAGCGGUGAAAUGCUUAGAUAUGACAUAGAACACCAAUUGCGAAGGCAGCUCACUACACGAAUAUUGACACUGAGGCACGAAAGCGUGGGGAUCAAACAGG
rnacentral:rRNA from 1 species